AAAGCACAGAAGCCCCUGGAGUCACAAAUCAUAGCUGGGAAUGAUCCAAGGGUAAUCAAUAAGCUAAUUGAAGAAGUUGAACUCACAUCAGCAGUGUUUGUCUGGUGACAAUAAAGUAAAGAGUGUUCUUAUAGAAGCAAGACUACAGACUGCAAGACAUAAGAAAUGGCCAUUCUUCUCUACUCAGUGCUUGGUAACAGCUCAUCUGGAAUAUUCCUUGUGGUGGUCUGGCUUUCAUCCCUGCAGAUGGAGAAAGCUGCUCCCUGAUCAGACUGGCUCAGUGAACUUGCUUUCUCUGCAAAAAGGAAGAAAUGGGGAGGAAGGAGAAAAGAGGUCUUGCCUACUCCUUUUAUGAUAAGGGGGCCAGGAUGCUCGGGCAGAGGUAGUGCAAAUGCAGCUCUCCAAGCACAGCAGAAGAGACCAGGACAGAGGAAUCAUAACUCAGAAGGCCAGCAAAGCUCCAGUCUGUGUUCCCAGAAUUGUUGUUGCUUUUCAUCCAAAGACUGGAGUGCAAUGUGUAAGCAGACCUGCACUCUGCCCCAAGAGCACUCUCAUCCCUCAGCUACAGGCUCUUUCUUGCUGAUUUUCUCUGAUGUGGGUUUGAACAUCCUCCAGCUGAGGAAAGCUUAAAAGGCAUGUGUCACAUUUCCUGAGCACAUGUUUAAACCACUAAUAUAAAUUUUAAGUAUUACCACCCCAAUGCCUUUUUCUUUUCUUUUUUCCCUGCUUUUGAAGGAUGCAAAAAACUCAUUUGGUUCUGAAAGGCAGCACAUUAGCACUAACCCCCGAAAGAGGGCCCGUGUUUGAGGGAGCACAGUCAGAGGAAGGGACUAGGUCUUGACCUUUCUCACUAUGUUUCUUGAGGGCAAAUCAUAGAGGCACCCUAACCCACAGUAAUCCUGGUUUCCAGUCCUCUGCAGAGGGUGCCAAACCUCAUCUUCUCCUGCAUCAAAAGCACGAGCUUCAUGUCUCAGUGUCAGCAGCCCUGCCUGACUGCUGCAGCCUGGCAGUGACACUCAGCACUGCAGAGACAGCUGUGCACCAGAGCAGGGUGCACCAAGGAUCCACUUCCAGCUUCCCAGGUUCACAGACUGAGCAUCCUGAUGGAUUUCCCCCAGCAUCCAGUGUGGACUAAAGCUUGGAUUCGAACUUUGGAAAUAUUACCUCUUGCUGCUAGGGAAUCAUAAUAGAGCAUUUAAAAGGAAAUGAGUGAUUUACAGCCUUCAAAAAUAUGCAGCUGAAAUUGAAUAGGAAUGAUGCUUCUGGUGUCAGAUACUUCAUGGUUAUAACACCACCAGAAAAAUACAAGUUUAAUGAAAUCAUGCUUUUAAAUAGAUUGUUAUUACAAAAUUCUGAUUAGUUUCUUUUUUAAUAAAUCACCUAAGAAUUUUCUGCACAGAUUGAAGAGGCUAACCUGACCUAGCA